GACGAACCGUGCGAACGUUGUUCGGAAUCACUGGGCUUAAAGGGCGCGUAGGCGGCAUAGCAAGUCCGGGGUGAAAGCCCCCGGCUCAACCGGGGAAGUGCCUUGGAAACUGCUGUGCUCGAGGGAGGUAGGGGUCGAGGGAACUUCUGGUGGAGCGGUGAAAUGCGUUGAUAUCAGAAGGAACGCCGGUGGCGAAAGCGCUCGACUGGACCUCUGCUGACGCUGAGGCGCGAAAGCUAGGGGAGCAAACGGG
rnacentral:rRNA from 1 species